rnacentral:tRNA from 1 species
UCCUAGGUGGCUUAGAUGGUAAAGGAUCUGCCUGCAAUGCAGGAUACCCAGUUUCAGUCUCUGGGUUGGGAA